CAGUCGCCGCGGUAAAACGAAGGGUGCAAGCGUUACUCGGAAUUACUGGGCGUAAAGCGUGCGUAGGUGGUGGUUUAAGUCCGUUGUGAAAGCCCUGGGCUCAACCUGGGAAUUGCAGUGGAUACUGGGUCACUAGAGUGUGUCAGAGGAUGGUGGAAUUCCCGGUGUAGCGGUGAAAUGCGUAGAGAUCGGGAGGAACAUCAGUGGCGAAGGCGGCCAUCUGGGACAACACUGACGCUGAGGCACGAAAGCGUGGGGAGCAAACAGGAUUAGAUACCCCCGUAGUCCCUGUCUCUUAUAC
rnacentral:rRNA from 1 species